AACGAACGCUGGCGGCGUGCUUAACACAUGCAAGUCGAGCGAGAAAGGGAGCUUCGGCUCCUGAGUAAAGCGGCGCACGGGUGAGUAACACGUGGGUAACCUGCCUUUCAGUGGGGGAUAACAGUCCGAAAGGGCUGCUAAUACCGCAUUCGUCGACGAGCACUCAUGUGCUUGUGGAGAAAGAGGCGCAAGUCUCGCUGGAAGAUGGGCCCCGCGGUCCAUUAGCUAGUUGGUGGGGUAAAGGCCUACCAAGGCUUCGAUGGAUAGCUGGUCUGAGAGGAUGAUCAGCCACACUGGAACUGAGACACGGUCCAGACUCCUACGGGAGGCAGCAGUGGGGAAUAUUGGACAAUGGGGGAAACCCUGAUCCAGCUACGCCGCGUGGGUGAUGAAGGCCUGGUGUAAGCCGUACGUCGUAGGGACGGAAGGUACG
rnacentral:rRNA from 1 species